GAUGAACGCUAGCGGGAGGCCUAACACAUGCAAGCUGAGCGGUAGAGAUCUUUCGGGAUCUUGAGAGCGGCGUACGGGUGCGGAACACGUGUGCAACCUGCCUUUAUCAGAGGGAUAGCCUUUCGAAAGGAAGAUUAAUACCUCAUAAUAUAAUGAAUGGCAUCAUUUAUUAUUGAAAACUCCGGUGGAUAGAGAUGGGCACGCGCAAGAUUAGAUAGUUGGUGAGGUAACGGCUCACCAAGUCGAUGAUCUUUAGGGGGCCUGAGAGGGUGAUCCCCCACACUGGUACUGAGACACGGACCAGACUCCUACGGGAGGCAGCAGUGAGGAGUAUUGGACAAUGGGUUAGCGCCUGAUCCAGCCAUCCCGCGUGAAGGACGACGGCCCUAUGGGUUGUAAACUUCUUUUGUACAGGGAUAAACCUACCCUCGUGAGGGUAGCUGAAGGUACUGUACGAAUAAGCACCGGCUAACUCCGUGCCAGCAGCCGCGGUAAAAC
rnacentral:rRNA from 1 species